rnacentral:ncRNA from 2 species
GCUUUACCUGCUUGGGAUGGUUCUCACAGGACGUUGAGUCGGCGAGAUGAAAUGGGAACACGGUGAGGUGUAGCCAACAGGCGCCAAAUCCGUGACUGCCCCCGCAACUGUAGGCGGUGAGCGACCCCGGCAAAAACCACUGGGCUCCCGGUUCGGGACGUCUGGGAAGGUUCGGGAAAGCCUAGACCCGCAAGUCAGGAGACCUGCCAUCGCGAAUAGCAACUG